AACUGUUCCCUGAAUCUGUGAAUUCCUCCAAAAUUUCCUACAGUUUGACUGUCAACUCUGCGCAUUGUUGAAAUGCUCUGACAUGAGAGGCCUGGCCUAUUUAUACAGACCACCUACCUGCUCUACUCGUGGUGAGGCUGCGACUGAGAGCAGAGCACAGAGCGAGAAAAAACGCAGAGAUGAGGUUCCUUGGCCUUGUGAGCCUGGUUGCUUUGAUCUUCCUCUUAAGCUUCAGGUCUUUGCUUCACCAGCAAGUGCUCGUUGUUCUUUUCCCUUCCGUGCAAGGAGAAGGUGCUGCGACUGCGAGCCAUGACGACGGCAGGAGGCAGCACGCCAAGGAGUGGGCCGAGGAGAGGAAGAGGAUGAGGUGGUUCAUGACCAAGGACUACGGCCAUCCGAGGCGCCACACGCCGAGGCACAACCGGCUGCUGUAGAAGAGAAGCUUGCAACAUGAGAGAGAAGGCCGACGGCGACGUAGGUCUUUCCUAGCUGAUCCUAGCUACUCCCUCCGUCCACUGGGACGGAGGGAGUAGCUAGCUAGCUCAUCUCAAUUUGGUCCCAUGUGUGCUGUCCUGAUCGGCACGCAAAUUUUGUACCCCCCUUGACCAAAUAUAUAUUAGAGAUGUUAUUAUAGGAGUAUAAAAUGAUGUCUCUUUUGGUAGAUUCUGUAAGGACUGUGUAGAGUCUCUUGUAGCUUCAUGGUUCCCACUAUCUUUGAUAUCUCAUGAAAAAUAGUCGCUUUGCUAA